GCUGGGGUAGCUCAACGGUAGAGCGCCUGGCUUCCAACCAGGUGGUUGUGGGUUCGAGCCCCACCCCUCGCUCCA
rnacentral:tRNA from 1 species